rnacentral:rRNA from 1 species
GCGUGCCUAAUACAUGCAAGUCGAACGAGGUGCUUUUGUAGCAAUACGAGGGUAUCCUAGUGGCGAACGGGUGAGUAACGCGUUGGUGACCUGCCCCAAAGUGUGGGAUAACAGUCCGAAAGGACUGCUAAUACCGCAUGUGGCCAUCGGGUUUAGAAACCGAUGACUAAAGCAGUAAUGCGCUUUGGGAGGGGCCUGCGUCCCAUCAGCUAGUUGGUGAGGUAACGGCUCACCAAGGCGACGACGGGUAGGGGACCUGAGAGGGUGACCCCCCACAAUGGAACUGAAACACGGUCCAUACACCUACGGGUGGCAGCAGUAGGGAAUAUUGCACAAUGGGCGAAAGCCUGAUGCAGCAACGCCGCGUGUGUGAUGAAGGCCUUCGGGUCGUAAAGCACUUUUCUGGGAGAUGAGAAAGGACAGUAUCUCAGGAAUAAGUCUCGGCUAACUACGUGCCAGCAGCCGCGGUAAAACGUAGGAGGCAAGCGUUAUCUGGAUUCACUGGGCGUAAAGCGCGUGCAGGUGGUGCGGUAAGUUAGGCGUGAAAUCUCCCGGCUCAACUGGGAGAGGUCGUCUAAUACUACCGUACUUGAGAGCAGAAGAGGAAGAUGGAAUUCCCG